GAUGAACGCUGGCGGCGUGCCUAAUACAUGCAAGUCGAACGGGCAGUAGCAAUACUCUUAGUGGCGAACGGGGCAGUAGCCGGUUGGUACCUGCCCCGAAGCGGGAGCUAUCGGACCGGAAGGUCUUCUAAUACCCCAUGCGCUCGCUAACGAGUAAUGGUGACGACCACUUUGGGAGGGGACUGCGUCUCAUGAGCUCGCUGGUAAGGUAACGCCUUACCAAGGCGCUGACGGGUAGGGGAGCAGUGAGGGUGGCCCCCCACAAUGGAACGAGAACACGGUCCAGACUCCUACGGGAGGCAGCAGUAGGGGAUGUUGGAAAGGGGCGCAAGCCUGAACCAGCAACGCAGCGUGAGCGAUGGCGGCCAGCGAGUUGUAAAGCACUUUUGACUGGGGCGAGGAAGGACGGUACCGGUCGAGUCAGCCUCGGCUAACUACGUG
rnacentral:rRNA from 1 species